rnacentral:rRNA from 1 species
GUCUAGCCUGCCCAAUGAUUAUUUAAAUGGCUGCAGUAUUUUGACUGUACAAAGGUAGCAUAAUCAUUAGUUUUUUAAUUGAAAGCUUGUAUGAAUGGCUGAAUGAGAAAGUAGCUGUCUCAGUUUAAAUUUUUAAUAAUUUUAUUUUUAAGUAAAAAAGCUUAAAUUUAUUUAAAAGACGAGAAGACCCUAUAGAGUUUAAUAAAUUUAAAUAAGUCAAAUAGAGGAAUAAUAAUUUUGUCUUACAAAUAAUUUAUUUGGUUGGGGUGACUAGAAAAUUUAAUAAACUUUUUUUUUUACUGUUUACACCAAUUAGUGAUUUUCUGAUCCAGUUCAUACUGAUUAAAAGAUAAAAUUACCUUAGGGAUAACAGCGUAAUUUUUUUUGAGAGUUCUUAUCGAUAAAAAAGUUUGCGACCUCGAUGUUGGAUUAAAAUUUAUUUUUGGCGUAGUAGUUAAAAUAUUAGGUCUGUUCGACCUUUAAAAUUUUACAUGAUCUGAGUUUAAACCGGUGUGAGCCAGGUUGGUUUCUAUCUUUAAUUUACUUUAGGGAUCUAGUACGAAAGGACCGGUUUCUGGUGAAAAUUCAUUUUGUUUUGAAUAAGUUUGUUUCUUUGGCAGAUUAGUGCAUUAAAUUUAGAAUUUAACUAUGUAUUUAGGUACAGGUAACACUUGUAUUUUUUAGAUUACAUUUUAAUUUUGAUUAGAACUUUAAUUUUGGUUAUUUGUGUAUUGGUUGGUGUG